AGGUAUUAUUUUUAUUUUUUCUAAUAACAUAAAUAAAUUAAAUUAUAUGUAUAUUAUGUUGUCAUUUUUAAUUUAUUUGUAUGGAGAUUGGGCCGGCAUCAGUUUUAUUACAAAAAGAAGGAAACUUGACUCGACUGCUGAGAAGGGGGAUACAAUUGUCCCACACCGGCCACAGCUCUGGUUAUUAGUCAUUUACAUAAAGAAACUGCGCAACGAGAAUUGUCCCUUCGGGACCUCCGUUCAAUUUUUUUCCAUGAAAUUGAAUGGAUUUUGAAGCAUUUUCCUUCUGUUUUUUUUUUUUUUUUUCCCACCCAGUUUGGGUCAAUUGGAAUGCAGAUUGAGGAUCUUUUGGUGUUGGGAAGUAUUUCACGCUUUGAUGGGUCCGUCUCACUGUCUGACUGUCUGAAUUUUCAUAUUCCAGGUAAAUAAUGAUGGUUCAGUUCAGUUAUCUGAUGCACUUUCACUCGAUGUGUAUACUUUUUGUGCAAGAAACUAUCUGAUUAUGAAAGGCUAGUUCAGAUUACCGUCUCAUCGCAAUAUCUGGCCCAAAAGCGUGCAGUGGCUCGCUCAAGAGGAUCUUCCGGCAGUAAGGGAUUCUCCUUCCAUGUUUCGUCGACAUAUUCAAGAAUUAUGAGUGACUCAACAACUGCAUUUCCAUUGUGCAGGAGCACUGGAAUUUUCUUAUGAAUAGGGUUAGACUGAAGAAGUAAAGGG